UUACACCCUUUAAUAAUAAGAGCUCACUCAAAUUCAGUUUGUGUGGCUGGAUAAGAAACAAAGAUUUUCCUUCUUACUUGUGGUAUCUGCUUCCAUCAGGUUGUUUCACUCUUUCCCAGCUAUAAAAUAAAUAUCCAGUAUAUAUCAAUGGAAGGAGAAAAUCCCCUUGAAGUUAAUGAUGUCAGUGUUGUCAAUCUAUUGCAAUGCCUCAUCCUCUCCUCAGUCUAGCAGAGGAUGUUUGAGUUAAAGCAGCAUUGGCCUUGUACUAUAUGACCGUAUAAGACUGUGUCCUCAGAACAUAAUGGUCAUCAAUUCCAUUAGUCAAUUUCCACUGUUUUUUUGGAUCCAUUACUAUAUACUGUAUACUGUGUCACUGUAUGCACAUUCCUGUACACUGUGCUUCUGAUGUUUUAAUGGGCUUAUGCUUCCCAGAUAGGCAAGACUUUUUUAAUCAGGCUAGUAUUUAUAUUUUUAAAUCAAUUGGAUAGUUUACAUAGAGAAAAGUCUCCAAAUUGGCUUUUCCUUUUGUUUUAAAAUAAUUUAUUCUUUCAAUACCCCCCUUUCUCCCCCACCCUUGGCUUCUUCCAGGUAGAUACUAGGAGUACAAACAUGAAUAAAAAUGGCCUUGAUACUAAAAGAAUUCAUAGUCUAGAAAUAAUUAUACUUCAUCUCGGAUCUGUUUCUUUGUAUGUACAUUUGCUACAUUUUACCUAUCACUCCCUAACUGAUGGAUGCCAAGACUGACUCCAUAUCCCUUCCAACACAAAGACUGACUCCAUCUCCCUUCCAACACGGGAUAAUUUCCAGGCAUCUCUACUGCGCCAUGAUAUUAUGAUGUGGGACCAUAUGGGAAACAAUUGCUAUCCACACUUGCAGGUGGGGCUGGUUGUGUUUUAAAAUGUUACUGAAACCAUAGUUUCUGCCCCCCCCCCCUUUUUUUUAAUGGGAGACUUUUCCAUGAGGUUUCUACCUCCUUGGGCUUCAUUUAGGAAACCAGGCACAGAUUUUCCAAAACCACCUAUAGGGAUUCUCUUGUCUACCACUGCCUUCUCCAGUUAAGUCCACUGAGAGGAGAGUACAUUUCUUUUUGCUCUCUGAAACCCAGCCAUAUCCAACAUAUUCAAACUAGUUUACAUUGUCAGGGCAAUGAAAACUAUAUAUUACAGUUCUGUGUGUAUAGGACAGUCAUCUUCAUGGCUUAGCCUUUUGAGUGCUGUAACACCCCACUAGUAAAUAAAAAUUGGUUUCCCAUA